GAUGUCAUGCAAUUGCUUUUGUUAUAACCUUGGUAGAAAAAAAUUUUUCAAUUCUAAUUUCCACCUUAUUUUGGAAAGUUUAUGAGUUGAGUAAAAGAAAGUUCUUAUAUCCAAUUUUAUGAUCAUAUUUUUAGGAACAUGAAAGAAUUUCAAAAAUUCUUCAAGAAUUCAGGAAGAAAAAGAAUGAUCCUACAUUUUUGGAAAAAAAGGAACGUUGUGAAUACCUGAAGAAUAAGCUUUCUCACAUAAAACAAAGAAUUCAGGAAUAUGAUAAAGUUAUGAAUUGGAAUAUACAAGGUUUUUCCUAAACCUCGUCGGAAAACUAUUUUUGUAUGGAAAUUUGUUUAAUAUUUAUUUACUGCCAUAUCUUUACCAAUUUCGUGAUACAUCUAAAAUUGGUUGCUAUCGGGAACUAGCUUUUGGCCAUUUUAAUCUGUUUGUAUGAGUGCUAAAAGGUUUGUUUUCAUUCAGAUACCUCUAAUUUUGAAUUCAGUAUGUGCCUUUAUUUAGAAUGAAUUCAUUUCUGAAGAAAUUAUGCCUAUUUCUCUUUAGAAAGUGCCCUCAGGAAAAGUGAUAUAGGAGUAAUGUCUCUUAAUAGGGGAAACCACUAGGAUAUUCUUAGUAGUAUUUGCAUUGUCACACUGCUGUCCCUUGGGUUUUCCAUUCCCUAAAAAGAUGAAUUUCUUUUCCUGACCAAAGUUGUCAUCUGCUUCCAUGAAUGGAAAGAAAUACAAGGCAUCCUUGUUACAGAGUUCCUUAAUCAGCAAGCCUAAAUAGCCACCAGAAAGCUCUCAUGCUGUGAAUUCCCAUUUUAUGCUCCUAGGCCUUAACUUUCAAGAAUAAGAAAAUAUGAAAUACUGAGUGGAGACAAAAACAGCCUUUAACCUUCUCUGGGGUGAUGCCAACAAAGGGCCCCCACCCUGUGGUCACUGGGGCCAUGCAGAGGCUCCCUCACAUCUGUCCUUCAGGUAGCUAGGUCGUCCCUUUCUAGCCUGACUUCACAUAAGUCCCCUGCAUGCACUGCAGCCAGACUGGAUUAGCUGUUCUCCA
rnacentral:lncRNA from 1 species